AUCCGGAUAGUGAGUUACUAUCCGGUAUCCGGCCGGAUAUUAAAUUUAGGCCGGAUAUCCGGCCUACCGGAUAGUUACCGGAUAUCCGUUUCAUCUCUAAUAUAGAUCUUAGUGUCCGACCGAAACUAGUUUUACGACCGAAACCGAAACCGAAAACGAAUUUCGGCAACGAUGUCUAUUUCGGCCGAAACCGAAACCGAAACCGAAACUUCCUUACGUACAAGGCUCAUAUUUUGAGAGAAAAAUAAAGAAAACGUUAUUAUAAUCAGUCAGUCUAUAUUGUUUUCUCUUUAAAUUGCAUUAAAAUUGAACUUAUAAAGUGCCUUUUUAAAAGGUAUCAAAUUAUGUAUUAAAAAAGAAAAAGAAGGAUUUAUUGGCUCUGUGCACGAUUACAGCGCCAACUAGCGUCCACAACUUUGAGGGCUCUGUCACAUUGACAUUUAGGUCGUAUAUUAGUGAAAAAAUAUCGAAAUGAAAAAAUAACAAAUAUUUUCGACUAAUAAAUUGUUGUGAUACCACGAUUUGGGUGGAAAAAAGGUUUUGAAAUCAUUUUGGUCAUUCAAAUCAAAUGAGAUCGAAAUGAGUAUUGUUUUGAAGACCGGGUUUGUGAGUGUUACAAUAUCAAAUUCCAACCACAAACCGUAUUUAAAGGAAAGUUGUUGGUAUUGGCUGGACAAGUCCGAGAUGUAGAAGAAUUCAGAACAAAACAAGGGCAGAGUUCAAUAAUUCACGCUCUCAUCAUAAGGCAAACAUCUGUGCACAACAACUACUGUGACUCAUUUUUGUACUACCACGUUGUAUAGUCUAGUUAUUUCCAAAUUGUAAACGGCUAUUAAACCAGCCCUAUCGAAAUACA